UACGGGGGGGGCAAGCGUUGUUCGGAAUUACUGGGCGUAAAGGGUCUGUAGGUGGCUUGCUAAGUCAGACGUGAAAUCCCUCAGCUUAACUGGGGAACUGCGUCUGAGACUGGCGAGCUUGAGGGCAGGAGAGGAACGCGGAAUUCCAGGUGUAGCGGUGAAAUGCGUAGAUAUCUGGAGGAACACCGGUGGCGAAGGCGGCGUUCUGGACGAUGACUGACGCUGAGACGCGAAAGCGUGGGGAGCAAACAGG
rnacentral:rRNA from 1 species